rnacentral:lncRNA from 1 species
UAGGACCCUGUUUCCUAAGACCGGCCGCUUUGACUUUGUAUCCGAGAGGGACCUAGCCCUCAUGUAUUACAUUCUCCAAGAUACCCCAAUUAACUUUCCUAAGCUGAUCUACAAAUACCUAUGUGAGCCACUAGACAAACCUAGGCUCACCCUUCCAUAUGGGAUGAUGUAUACCCUGAUUUUUAGGAAGUCCGAGAUCCCCAUUCCUGAGGGGGAAC